CUGGUAUCGAGGCUUCAUUUUUUUCGCAAUCAAAUGACUGAAUGUUAUCGUUCCAGAUAUAUAUAUAUAUAGAGUUCACUGUUUCCUCCAUUCCCAUUUCCUCUGUUUCCACGUCCUUUAUUUCCAUUUCCUUGCACAAACUCUUCAAUGUCCCGUUUCGGAGGCUCGCUCGCUGCAUCUAUACGUGACCGUCAUUUCACUGUCAUUCAGAUAACCAUUUCUUUUGACCUGACAAUGACCACCAUUACCUUUAUUGAUGUUUUGAACGUUUUCCUGGCUACAUUCCCAGUUACAUGAGACCUUGUCGACGCUUUGUCCACUAGCCAAUGAAAUGUCGAUAAUUUCCGGAACGG